rnacentral:rRNA from 1 species
GUCUAGGGCCGUGCCACCCUGAACAAGCCUGAUUCCGUCUGAUCUCAGAAGCUAAGUAGGGUCAGGCCUGGCUAGUACUUGGAUGGGAGACCACCUAGGAAGACCAGGUUCUAUAGGUG